rnacentral:lncRNA from 1 species
GUGGAAUCUUUGUCCCUAGAAUUGGAUUUUCAUUCUUGCUAUGGAGAUGAAUGUUCCAUACUUUUGUGAGUUUGACUUCAACUCAUUAGAAUGCAGUGAGUUAAUGAUUUUAGCAUCAUCCCAUUUGACAGUCAUCCAAAGCAGUGCACUUUUUGGAUGUGUGUCACAAAAAAAGACUAAUUUUCCAUCUCCAUCUUUCAAAAACUCUGCAGCAGGCUCACCCUCCUCCAUGAACAUUCCAAUGACAUAGACAGGCAAAGUAUGCUAGCAUCUCUGCACUCAUUUGGCAAGCUUAUAAACUCUGUACUUAGAAGGCAGAUGUGAUAAAUGAAUUAAGG